rnacentral:rRNA from 1 species
GACGAACGCUGGCGGCGUGCUUAACACAUGCAAGUCGAACGGAAAGGCCCUGCUUUUGUGGGGUGCUCGAGUGGCGAACGGGUGAGUAACACGUGAGUAACCUGCCCUUGACUUUGGGAUAACUUCAGGAAACUGGGGCUAAUACCGGAUAGGAGCUCCUGCUGCAUGGUGGGGGUUGGAAAGUUUCGGCGGUUGGGGAUGGACUCGCGGCUUAUCAGCUUGUUGGUGGGGUAGUGGCUUACCAAGGCUUUGACGGGUAGCCGGCCUGAGAGGGUGACCGGCCACAUGGGGACGGAGAUACGGCCCAGACUCCUACGGGAGGCAGCAGGGGGGAAUAUGGCACAAUGGGCGGAAGCAUGAUGCAGCAACGCCGCGUGCGGGAGGACGGCCUUCGGGUGGUAAACCGCUUUCGCCUGUGACGAAGCGUGAGUGACGGUAAUGGGUAAAGAAGCACCGGCGAACUACGU